rnacentral:piRNA from 1 species
UCAACAGUAUGUUCGGCGACGACAGCGAC